GUGGGGAAUAUUGGUCAAUGGCCGAGAGGCUGAACCAGCCAUGCCGCGUGCGGGAAGACGGCCCUAUGGGUUGUAAACCGCUUUUUUGUGGGAGCAAUAAGUUGCACGUGUGCAAUGAUGAGAGUACCAUGAGAAUAAGCAUCGGCUAACUCCGUGCCAGCAGCCGCGGUAAUACGGAGGAUGCGAGCGUUAUCCGGAUUUAUUGGGUUUAAAGGGUGCGUAGGCGGAUUUUUAAGCGUGAGGUGAAAUGCCCGGGCUCAACCUGGGAACUGCCUCGCGAACUGGGAGUCUUGAAUGCCCCUGCCGUGGGAGGAAUGUGUGGUGUAGCGGUGAAAUGCAUAGAGAUCACACAGAACACCGAUUGCGAAGGCAUCUCACGAAGGGGUGAUUGACGCUGAGGCACGAAAGCGUGGGGAUCAAACAGG
rnacentral:rRNA from 1 species